rnacentral:rRNA from 1 species
CGGCGGACGGGUGAGUAACACGUGAGUAACCUGCCUUAGACAUUGGAUAGCCUCGGGAAACCGGGAUUAAUACCAAAUAAAAUCAUAAUGACACAUGUCAUAACGAUCAAAACUCCGGUGGUCUAAGAUGGACUCGCGUCCCAUUAGCUAGUUGGUAGAGUAAAAGCCUACCAAGGCGACGAUGCGUAGCCGACCUGAGAGGGUGAUCGGCCACACUGGAACUGAGACACGGUCCAG